rnacentral:lncRNA from 1 species
UUUUUUUUUUUUUUUUUUUUUUUUUUUUUGUCUUUUUGUCCUUUUAGGGCCGCACCGGCGGCCUAUGGAGGCUCCCGGGCUAGGGGUCUAAUCAGAGCUGUAGCCACCAGCCUAUGCCAAGAGCCACAGCAACCCGGGAUCCGAGCUGCAUCUGCAACCUGAACCACAGCUCACGGCAACGCCGGAUCCUUAGCCCACUGAGCAAGGCCAGGGAUCAAACCCGCAACUGCAUGGUCCUUAGUCAGUUUCGUUAACCACUGAGCCACAAAAGGAACUCCUGCAGCGGCUUUUUUAAUAAAAGUGUACGUAUUCCACCAGCAGCCUCCCUCACUCCCUGGUGUCAUCACUCAUACCCCCCAUCACCACCCCCAGGCUCUGAAAGUCUGGGCGGAGUCCUGGGCGGCUCAGGGCUCAGCCAAGGGAAGGGGUCCCUCCGGGAAGAGUGUGACCACCAAUGCUCCCACCAAGCAAGGCUUUCAUUUUGGCCAAGAGAAAGGGAUUGCGAAAGACGUGGGUGAUCAGAAUGUUAACCAUAAAUAAAAGAGCAAACGGGCCACAUUCUGCUGCAGUUACACCCUCCGCCCCAGCCGUCCAGCCACUUGACUCUUUUAUUUAAUUUCUCUUGCUUUUUAGGGCCACACUUGCAGCAUAUGGAAGUUCCCAGGCUAGGAGUCAAUUCGGAGCUGCAGCUGCCAGCCUACACCACAGCCACAGCAAUAUUUCCAUUCCAAAGGGACACGUUUCCUUUCCCACAGGAGGCUGCGGCGUCAGGCUUACUGCCUCAUCACACAUGGAUUUCUGUCUCCCACAUCUCGUCAAGGGAACAGGAGACAAAAUACUUCACCGUGUAACAGUUCAAACAUGGCUUUGAGCCCAAUCCAUAAAAUACAGAAAAUCCAUAGUACCAGGUAUACAGGUAGUACUUUAAAAAUACAUCCCACAUCUGGUGGCUGGGAUCAUUCCAAGAAGCCACUUGUGCAAAGCUAUAAACAACAACGGCUGUAUUUUCAUAGGAGCUAUUGUAUCUUUCAGAGCCCACAUUUCACUAAACUGCUCUGCCACCUAAAGCUGGUGGUCCCACUGGGAUUUCCUAGGGGGAAGGGCAGUGAUUCAAGCAAUUAGAUCCUGGCGCCUCCACCGGUCCCCGUGGUUUCCACAGUGGACGGGGGAGCAGAGGCUACAUCAGCCCCGCAACGUGGGGUGCAACCGAGGUGACUCCUGGCAUUUCAGGCUGCAGUCUGGGGGUCUCUGACCCUCCUGGUUCAUUCUUUGCAAGGGCUACCUGGAGGGUGGUGGUUUAAAAGAGAACCCCAGGAUUUUAGGAGAAUGGGCUCUGGGGGACGUUCGGCAGGAGGGGGCAGAAGGCCAGAAAUUGAGAGCCCCCACUAGAACCGCAACACAUGGCAAGACGGGGGGUGGGAGGGGGCGGCCCUGCAUUCAGAAAGGCACGUGGGUCUGAAGAGCACGGGGGUCCACCAGGCUUGAUCCAAAAGAACACGCCCUGGAGCAAAGGAGGCCCUAGUCUGGGGUUUGAGGGGUCGACUCAUUCAUGGAUUCACCUGUCCACUCAUUCGCAGAAUGUGCCAGGGCUGGGGAAGGGCAGGACAGCUCCUGGCAAUAGCACAUGCAAAGGCCCUGGGGUGAGAGCGCUAGGCAGGUCCAGGGUCUGGAAGGGCUGGGUGGCCAGGGUGCUGGGGGCGAGGCGGCGUGUGGUGAGGGUGGGGGGCAGGCCCCAGGACUCAAAGGGCCUCGAGACCCAUGGGGUAUGGAUUUUAUCCCGGGAAGAAUGAAAGACCCUGAGGGUCUCUAGUCGGAAAGAAAGGGCAGGGAUUUCCCUUCUCUGGGAAGGUUAUGGGGUCACUGGAGGGAGGCAAGAAGAGGCUGGAAGAGAGGGGAGUAAGGCGGGGGGCUGCUGAAUUCAACCAGGAGAGACCCAGAGGCAGCCUGGAAAUAGUUAGGAGCCCAGAUACAUGUAACUGUGAUCUUCCGCCACCUCCUGAGGCAAAGCUCCCGUGCAGCUGAACCCGAAUCAAAGAUUCCUUCAUGCACUUACUGUUACAAUUCACAUAGUUACCAACUGAUUUCUGUGCUCUAUAAAUUGUAUGUGUGUGCAUCGGGGCGGGGGGGUGAUACCAGGAUUUCGCGAAGUGGGAAGCGCUGGGACAUAGCUGUCCCCCCACCCAAACUCUCCAAGUGAGCUUGCAGCCGAUGUAACGCGUCUCACCACAGAGGUGUCACCCCGUCCACACCUACUGGCUCCCGGUGGGCCAGACCCCGGGCUGAUCCACUUAGCCGCAGUGUGGACGGCAGCAUUCUAACCCAGAUUCCCAGUCCCGGUUACUCAAUCAGACAUGAUUCUAGGCACUGCUAAGACUCCUGCGAUGGGAUCAGGGUUAUAAUCAGCUGACUUGAGGCAGCGAGAUCAUUGGGAAUGAUCCAGAUUUGUCAUAGCAGGAGCCCUCACAGCAGAGGGGAGAUGGGGGCGGGAGAGAUGGACAAGCGGGGAGGGACUCGGCCUGCCCUGCUGGCCUUGAGGGGGCCACACGCCGGGCAAUGCAGUGGCCUCUGAAAGCUGAGGACCACCCCCAACAGCCAUUAGGGAAGCAGGGACCCGGCUCCCG